CUGGCCUUUUUUAAGUCAGAGUGCUUUGCUAAGGGGCCACCGAUUGAGUGUCCACAUACUUCAAAGCCCUUAACCAGAAGACAGGAAAUGAGUCAUUCAACAGUAAUGAGUCCAAGAGCUGAUGUUCCAAACUCCAGAAGGGACUCACUCGCAACAAUUCCAAGAAAAUAAGGCACAUGACGUCAAACACUGGAUAAUCCAUAGUAUGUGAGAUGCUCACCCACGGAAGAAAGAGUACAUGAAGACCCAGUGAGAAUGUGACAAUCUACAAGCCAAGGAGAGAAGCCUCAGAAAAAAAUAACCCUGCCCACACCUUGAUAUUGAACUUCUUAGCCCCUUGGACUGUGAGAAAAUCAAUUUUUGUUGUUUAAGCUAUCUGGUCUUUGUUAUUUUGAGAUAGAAGCCUUAGCAAACUAAUGCAGAUGUUUCUGGGAUUUAUUCUAGAAAGUAUAGGUAUCAAAAGGGUACAGAGGGAACUAGUGCUGGGAAUUCUAUAGCUGUUACAUAGCUAUUUGUUAAUGUGCCAACCAAAUUCAGAUUAUUCAAUGAAACAGUUAUAAGAUCGAUUAUUUUGACUCAGAUUAUUUUGACUCAGAUUAUUUUGACUCAAAAAGGAAUAAAUGAAUGUAAUGUCAGAAUAGUGCUACAAAUUAGGACAAAAAAGAUAAGCUGGAAAAUAU
rnacentral:lncRNA from 1 species